rnacentral:rRNA from 1 species
GCUCAGUAACACGUGGACAACUUGCCCUAUCGCGGGGGAUAAUCUCGGGAAACUGAGGGUAAUACCCCAUAGGCUUCAGGUACUGGAAUGUUCUGAAGCUGAAAGUUCCGACACGAUAGGAUGGGUCUGCGGCCCGAUUAGUUAGUAGGCGGUGUAAUGGACCACCUAGACUAUAAUCGGUAAGGGUCAUGGGAGUGAUAGCCCUGAGACGGAAUCUGAGACACUAUUCCGAGCCUUACGGGGUGCAGCAGGCGCGAAAACUUUGCAAUGCACGAAAGCGCGACAAGGGGACUCCAAGUGUGCAUAUACCAUAUGCACUUUUUCAGAGCCCAAAACGCUCUGGGAAUAAGGGGUGGGCAAGACUAGUGCCAGCCGCCGCGGUAAAACUAGCAUCUCGAGUGGCAGUCACCAUUACUGGGCUUAGAGCGUCCGUAGCUCGCUCGGAAAGUCCCUGGUGGAAUCCUGCGGCUUAACCGUAGGGCUUGCCGGGGAAACUAACGGGCUUGAGGGCGGGAGAGGUCGGGGGUACUUCUGGGGUAGGGGUGAAAUCCUUUAAUCCUAGAAGGACCAACAGUGGCGAAGGCGCCCGACAUGAACGCGCCUGACAGUGAGGGACGAGAGCCAGGGUCGCGAAACGGAUUAGAUACCCGUGUAGUCCUGGCCGUAAACGAUGCUGACUAGGUGGGGUGCAAUCUUAGUGAUUGUGCUAUGCCGAAGGGAAACCGUUAAGUCAGCCGCCUGGGGAGUACGACCGCAAGGUUGAAACUUAAAGGAAUUGGCGGGGGAGCACUACAAGGGGUGGAAGCUGCGGUUUAAUUAGAUUCAACGCUGGACAUCUCACCGGAGGCGACAGCAGGAUGAAGGCCAGACUGAUGGUCUUGCCGAACACGCUGAGAGGAGGUGCAUGGCCGUCGUCAGCUCGUGCCGUAAGGUGUUAGGUUAAGUCCUAAAACGAGCGAGACCCCCGCC